CUGCAAUCUGUUUAGUUCUGCUUUCUAGUCAUGAUUGUGGGAUGUUGAACAUGGUGCAUAUAUGAAAUGUUGCUUCUCAAGCAGUUUCGGCCACACAACCGUUGAGAUAGAUCCACAGAUGAACAGUCUUUAUAGUGCUUGUCUACUAAUUAUAUAGCAAAUCU